UCCCGCCCAGGCAACAACAUCCCAGAGCUGGGCGGGUUAAGGAGGAGGAUGGCGCCGUCCUGCAGAUGUGCGGGGACGCGCGCCCGCCGCAACGUGAGGCUCAUAGGCCACACGCAACUCUGAGCAUUGGCCAGGACCUGUAGUAGCCAACAGGACACUUAAUAACUGAUGUAUAGGUGCGCACUGUGUGUCCAGAGCUUUACGUUAACCACCUCACUGUGUCAUCUCGCUGAGGUUGUGUGGUUUACUAUUACUGCUAUUAGCGCAUUUUUAAGCGGGAAACCUGAGGCAUGAGGAGGGUUUCGCCGUGUUGACCGGGCUGGUCUCCAGCUCCUGACCGCGAGUGAUCUGCCUGCCUCGGCCCCCCGAGAUGCCGGGAUUGCAGACGGAGUCUCGCUCACUCAGUGCUCAAUGUUGCCCAGGCUGGAGUGCAGUGACGUGAUCUCGGCUCGCUACAACCUCCACCUCCCAGCCGCCUGCCUUGGCCUCCCAAAGUGCCGAGAUUGCAACCUCUGCCCGGCCGCCACCCCGUCUGGGAAGUGAGGAGCGUCUCUGCCUGGCCGCCCAUCGUCUGGGAUGUGAGGAGCCCCUCUGCCCGGCUGCCCAGUCUGGGAAGUGAGGAGCGCCUCUUCCCGGCCGCCAUCCCGUCUAGGAAGUGAGGAGCGUCUCUGCCUGGCUGCCCAUUGUCUGAGAUGUGGGGAUUGCCUCUGCCCCACUGCCCCGUCUGGGAUGUGAGGAGCGCCUCUGCCCGGCCGCGACCCUGUCUAGGAACUGAGGAGUGUCUCUGCCCGAUCGCCACCCAGUCUGCGAGGUGAGGAGCGUCUCUGCCCGGCCGCCCCGUCUGAGAAGUGAGGAGCCCCUCCGCCCGGCAGCCACCCCGUCUGGGAAGUGAGGAGCUCCUCCGCCCGGCAGCCGCCCCGUCUGGGAAGUGAGGAGCCCCUCCGCCCGGCAGCCGCCCCGUCCGGGAAGUGAGGAGCGUCUCCGCCCGGCAGCCACCCUGUCCGGGAGGUGGGGGGCAGCCCCCGCCUGGCCAGCCGCCCCGUCCGGGAGGGAGGUGGGGGGCGCCUCUGCCCGGCCGCCUCGUCUGGGAAGUGAGGAGCCCCUCUGCCCGGCUGCCACCCCGUCUGGGAGGUGUACCCGACAGCUCAUUGGGAACGGGCCAUGAUGAUGAUGGCGGUUUUGUUGAAUAGAAAAGGGGGAAAUGUGGGGAAAAGAGAGAGAUCAGAUUGUUACUGUGUCUGUGUAGAAAGAAGUAGACAUGGGAGACUCCAUUUUGUUCUGUACUAAGAAAAAUUCUUCUGCCUUGGGAUGCUGUUAAUCUAUAACCUUACCCCCAACCCCGUGCUCUCUGAAACAUGUGCUGUAUCCACUCAGGGUUAAAUGGAUUAAGGGCGGUGCAAGAUGUGCUUUGUUAAACAGAUGCUUGAAGGCAGCAUGGUCAUUAAGAGUCAUCACCACUCCCUAAUUUCAAGUACCCAGGGACACAAACACGGUGGAAGGCCGCAGGGUCCUCUGCCUAGGAAAACCAGAGAUGCUUGUUCACAUGUUUAUCUGCUGACCUUCCCUCCACUAUUGUCCUAUGACCCUGCCAAAUCCCCCUCUCCGAGAAACACCCAAGAAUGAUCAAUAAAUACUAAAAGAACAAAAAAAAAAAAACAAACACAAAACAAAAAAACCCAAAACAACAACAACAACAACAAAAAUUGUAGCCCAGGUGCGGUAGUUCAUGCCUGUAAUCCCAGCACUUUGGGAGGCCAAGGUAGGUGAAUCACUUGAGAUCAGGAGUUCGAAACCAGCCUAGCCAACAUGUGGCCAACAUAGCGAAACCUGGUCUCUACUAAAAAUACAAAAAGCCAGGUGUGUUGGUGCUCACCUGUAGUCCCAGCUACUCAGGAGGUUGAGGCACGAGAAUCACUUGAAACCAGGAGGCUGAGGUUGCAGUGAGCUGAGAUCAUGCCACCGCACUCAAGCCUGGGUGACAGAGCUAGACUGUCUCAAAAAACAAACAGACAAACAAAAACUAUAGGCUGGACACGGUAGCUCAUGCCUGUAAUCCCAACGGGCAGAUUGCUUGAGCUCAGGAGUUUGAGACCAGCCUGGGCAACAUGGCAAAACCUCUUCUCUACUAAAAAUAUAAAAAAUUAGCCAGGCAGGAUUGUGUGUGUCUGUGGUCCCAGCUACCAGGGAGGCUGAGAUAGGACGAUUACUUGAGCCCAGGAGGCAGAGGUUGCAGUGAGCUGAGAUCUUACCACUGCAUUCCAGCAAGACUCAGUCUCAAAAAAAAAAAAGAAAAAAAAAAAAAGAAAAAUUGUAAAAAGCAAUUUCUUGUAAAAAACAAAAACUGUACAGAGGCUACAAACAAUUGCCCCAUUUAUGUUGCCUACCCAGUCCUCAAAGAUGGCCAUUGCUCUUUGACACCUAUAUUGAUCAAGAUGUUUUCUCUGUUUAGACUUCAUAUAUAUGUGAACAUAAUUUCUGCCAUAUUUGGAGUAAUUUUGAACACACUGUUCUCCUACUCUUUUUUAAUUCCUCAAAUUGUAUUUUGGUUAUCUUUUUUUUUCCUUUUGAGAUGGAGUUUCACUCUUGUUGCCCAGGCUGGAGUGCAAUGGUGCCAUCUCAGCUCACAACAACCUCCGCCUCCCGGGUUUGAGCGAUUCUCCUGCCUCAGCCUCCCGAGUAGCUGGGAUUACAGCUAUGCACCACCACGCCUGGCUAAUUUUGUAUUUUUAAUAGAAGCAGGGUUUCUCCAUGUUGGUCAGGCGGGUCUCGAACUCUCGAACUCAAGUGAUCCACCCGCCUCGGCCUCCCAAAGUGCUGGGAUUGCAGGCGUGAGUCACCGUGCCUGGCCUUGUGGAUAUCUUUCUAUGUCAGUACAUAGAACUUGAUAUUAAGUGCUAUCUAUAUACUGAUGACUCUCAGUGUAUUUACAUUUUCAGCUCAGACUUCUCUUCUGAACUCUAGACUUAUAAAUAUCUACUUGACAUUGACAUAACCACCCUGAUGUCUCACAGAUUCCUUUUUUUUUUUUUUUUGAGAUGGAGUUUUGCUCUUGUUGCCUAGGCUGGAGUGCAAUGGCGUGAGCUCAGCUCACCACAACCUCCGCCUCCUGGGUUCAAGCUCAAGCAAUUCUCCUGCCUCAGCCUCCCAAGUAGCUGGGAUUACAGGCAUGUGCCACCACACCCAGCUAAUUUUGUAUUUUUUUUUUUUUUUUUAGUAGAGACGGGGUUUCUCCGUGUUGAUCAGGCUGGUCUCGAACUCCCCACCUCAGGUGAUCCACCCACCUCGGCCUCCCAAAGUGCUAGGAUUACAGGCGUGAGCCACUGUGCCCGGCCCCACCCCCCCGCUUUUUUUUUUGAGAUGGAGUCUUGCUCUGUCACCCAGGCUGGAGUGCAGCUGUGUGAUCUCAGCUCAGGGCAACUUCUGCCUCCUGGGUUCACGCAAUUCUCUUGUCUCAGUCUCCUGUGUAGCUGGGAUUACAGGCGCGUGCCACCACGUCUGGCUAUUUUUUUUUUUCUUUUUCUUUUUUUGAGACAGUGUCUAGCUCUGUCACCCAGGCUGGAGUGCAGUGGCGCGAUCUCGGCUCACUGCAACCUCUGCCUCCUGGG
rnacentral:lncRNA from 10 species